GUUUUGCGUGAGGGAUAGAGGCGGCAUCCUUUUGUGAAGAGAAACGAACAAAAGAUACAGCUGAAAGCCCGACCCGGA
rnacentral:sRNA from 1 species